rnacentral:lncRNA from 1 species
CGCGGGUGACACACACAGGAAGUAGAAGGAGUCAGGGACCUGUUUGAUACUGUCUUAACAGUACGAGCGUUUUUUGCAAAAAGAACACUGUACUGCACGCGUGACAUGAAUUUUGGGACGGAGGGAGUAGUAGUUUAGUGUAGGACUUGCAAGAAGAGAGCUACCGUAGUAUAUUCCUCUUCUUCCCUCUUCUCUUUCUGUUAUCUUUCUCUUUUCUCUUCUCUUUCAAAGGAAACCAAAUGGCUCCAAACGAAUUUUUUCCUUAACUGAAUAUAACUGAAACUUGUCGAAUGAUCAAGUGAUCAAAUGAUCGAGUGACCAAUUGACAAAAUGAUCAAAUG